rnacentral:rRNA from 1 species
AGGGCCUAACACCAUGCAAGUCGAGCGGAUGAGAGGCAGCUUGCUCCUCGAUUCAGCGGCGGACGGGUGAGUAAUGCCUAGGAAUCUGCCUAGUAGUGGGGGACAACGUUUCGAAAGGAACGCUAAUACCGCAUACGUCCUACGGGAGAAAGUGGGGGAUCUUCGGACCUCACGCUAUUAGAUGAGCCUAGGUCGGAUUAGCUAGUUGGUAGGGUAAAGGCCUACCAAGGCGACGAUCCGUAACUGGUCUGAGAGGAUGAUCAGUCACACUGGAACUGAGACACGGUCCAGACUCCUACGGGAGGCAGCAGUGGGGAAUAUUGGACAAUGGGCGAAAGCCUGAUCCAGCCAUGCCGCGUGUGUGAAGAAGGCCUUCGGGUCGUAAAGCACUUUAAGUUGGGAGGAAGGGCUCAUAGCGAAUACCUGUGAGUUUUGACGUUACCAACAGAAUAAGCACCGGCUAACUUCGUGCCAGCAGCCGCGGUAAUACGAAGGGUGCAAGCGUUAAUCGGAAUUACUGGGCGUAAAGCGCGCGUAGGUGGCUUGAUAAGUUGGAUGUGAAAUCCCCGGGCUCAACCUGGGAACUGCAUCCAAACUGUCUGGCUAGAGUGCGGUAGAGGGUAGUGGAAUUCCCAGUGUAGCGGUGAAUGCGUAGAUAUGCAUACMCCAGUACGAAGCCGACUACUGGACUGACACUGACACUGAGUGCGAAGCGUGGGGAGCUACAG